UACGGGGGGAGCAAGCGUUGUUCGGAUUUACUGGGCGUAAAGGGCGCGUAGGCGGUCGUGACAAGUCACUUGUGAAAUCUCCGGGCUUAACUCGGAACGGUCAAGUGAUACUGUCGGACUAGAGUACAGAAGGGGCAACUGGAAUUCUCGGUGUAGCGGUGAAAUGCGUAGAUAUCGAGAGGAACACCAAUAGCGAAGGCAGCUCGCUGGGACGGUACUGACGCUGAGGCGCGAAAGCGUGGGGAGCGAACAGG
rnacentral:rRNA from 1 species